rnacentral:rRNA from 1 species
GUGUCAGCAGCCGCGGUAAUACAGAGGUCCCAAGCGUUGUUCGGAUUCACUGGGCGUAAAGGGUGCGUAGGCGGCCGGGUAAGUCUGAUGUGAAAUCCCGCAGCUCAACUGCGGAACUGCAUCGGAUACUCUCCGGCUAGAGGAAUGGAGGGGAGACUGGAAUUCUCGGUGUAGCAGUGAAAUGCGUAGAUAUCGAGAGGAACACCAGUGGCGAAGGCGAGUCUCUGGACAUUUCCUAACGCUGAGGCACGAAAGCCAGGGGAGCAAACGGGAUUAGAUACCCGCGUAGUCC